GCCCUGGUAGCUCAGUGGUAGAGCGCCUGUCUUGUAAACAGGAGGUCGAGGGUUCAAUCCCCUCUCAGGGCU
rnacentral:tRNA from 1 species